CUGCCUCUGUGCCACAUCACAGGGACUCCGCUGUGGUGUCGAGGAGGGAGAUGUUCACAGAUGCUGAGUUAUUUGAAAACAGAGACAGUGUUGGGAAUGGGGUGCAAUGAGAAAUGCUCAUUUCAAGUGCUGGAGAGAAGACUCAGCGUUAAGAGUCCUGCCUGUUCUUGAAGAGGACCUGGGCUUGAUUUCCAGCACCCAUAUCA
ensembl:antisense Gm16235 predicted gene 16235